rnacentral:piRNA from 1 species
CAAAACAAAAAACAAUCUCAACAUGGUAGU